CCUAGAGACUGAGAUCAGAGCCGAGGGGCAGACCACGGAACAGGGAGGUGUCUGGGUGGCUGGACAUGCCAUGGAGUUCUGGUCCAGUCUUUCAUGUCUUAAACAGGAUGAUAAGACAAGUUUAGGUUACAUUUUGAAGGAUGGAAACUGGACUUUCAAUUAAGUCAGUAGCAAGGGAAGCACAAAACCAGGGGAUACGGUGGUGCUGCUUUCCAGCAGAAAAGCAGUUCAAAGCCCGGACUGCGCCUUCUGGAGCGAAAUUCAAAUGUGGAAGCUUCGAAUAGUCAAGAGCUCUGCACCCCCCGGAAGUACGU
rnacentral:lncRNA from 1 species